GGCGCGGUGGCUGAGUGGUUAUAGCGUGUGACUAGAAAUCACAUUCCUUCGGGAGCGUAGGUUCGAAUCCUGCCCGCGUCG